rfam:Culex pipiens quinquefasciatus supercont3.1224 genomic scaffold, whole genome shotgun sequence.
GCAGACGUGGUGAAAUGGUUACGCUGUCCACUUUAUAAGUGGAUGGUAGUGGGUUUCGAUUCCCAUCUGCUCCA